GACGAACGCUGGCGGCGUGCCUAAUACAUGCAAGUUGAGCGCUGAAGGUUGGUACUUGUACCAACUGGAUGAGCAGCGAACGGGUGAGUAACGCGUGGGGAAUCUGCCUUUGAGCGGGGGACAACAUUUGGAAACGAAUGCUAAUACCGCAUAAAAACUUUAAACACAAGUUUUAAGUUUGAAAGAUGCAAUUGCAUCACUCAAAGAUGAUCCCGCGUUGUAUUAGCUAGUUGGUGAGGUAAAGGCUCACCAAGGCGAUGAUACAUAGCCGACCUGAGAGGGUGAUCGGCCACAGUGGGACUGAGACACGGCCCAAACUCCUACGGGAGGCAGCAGUAGGGAAUCUUCGGCAAUGGACGAAAGUCUGACCGAGCAACGCCGCGUGAGUGAAGAAGGUUUUCGGAUCGUAAAACUCUGUUGGUAGAGAAGAACGUUAGUGAGAGUGGAAAGCUCAUCAAGUGACGGUAACUACCCAGAAAGGGACGGCUAACUACGUG
rnacentral:rRNA from 1 species